UUUCCGUAGGUGAACCUGCGGAAGGAUCAUUAAACGCUACGCCACAGGGGCCGGGGAGAAUCGCAGGUCCUCGCGAUCGGCGUUUCUUCUCGCCCUGUCGGAAUAUUACCCAUGAUUUUUGCGCACCCAUUGUUUCCUCGGCAGGCCUGCCUGCCAAGAGGACCCCUUUAAACCACUUGCAGUUGCAGUCAGCGUCAGAAAAACGUAAUUAUCACAACUUUCAACAACGGAUCUCUUGGUUCUG
rnacentral:misc_RNA from 1 species